AAACCAUGUUGUGGACAUGAACUGACAAAGAUCCUUGAACUGCUCCCAACAUUGAAAGAAUGUUCCAUCUUCCUUUUGGGCAAAGUUCAUGAUUGACUUUCUAAGAGU